GUGCUCUCUCUGGUAGCACAUACACUAAUAUCGGAAAAUCUAGAGAAGCUGAGCGUGGCCCCUGCACAA
rnacentral:snRNA from 1 species